rnacentral:rRNA from 1 species
GCCCGAGAGGUUUGUUCUGGCUCAGGACGAACGCUGGCGGGCGUGCCUAAUACAUGCAAGUCGAGCGGAGUUUAUCGGGAGCUUGCUCCUGAUAAACUUAGCGGCGGACGGGUGAGUAACACGUAGGCAACCUGCCCGUAAGACUGGGAUAACUACCGGAAACGGUAGCUAAUACCGGAUACGCAAGUCUCUCGCAUGAGGGACUUGGGAAAGGCGGAGCAAUCUGUCACUUACGGAUGGGCCUGCGGCGCAUUAGCUAGUUGGUGGGGUAACGGCUCACCAAGGCGACGAUGCGUAGCCGACCUGAGAGGGUGAACGGCCACACUGGGACUGAGACACGGCCCAGACUCCUACGGGAGGCAGCAGUAGGGAAUCUUCCGCAAUGGACGAAAGUCUGACGGAGCAACGCCGCGUGAGUGAUGAAGGUUUUCGGAUCGUAAAGCUCUGUUGCCAGGGAACAACCCCCCGUUAGAGUAACUGCUAACGGAGUGACGGUACCUGAGAAGAAAGCCCCGGCUAACUACGUGCCAGCAGCCGCGGUAAUACGUAGGGGGCGAGCGUUGUCCGGAAUUAUUGGGCGUAAAGCGCGCGCAGGCGGCUGUUUAAGUCUGGUGUUUAAUCCUGGGGCUCAACCCCGGGUCGCACUGGAAACUGGGCAGCUUGAGUGCAGAAGAGGAGAGUGGAAUUCCACGUGUAGCGGUGAAAUGCGUAGAGAUGUGGAGGAACACCAGUGGCGAAGGCGACUCUCUGGGCUGUAACUGACGCUGAGGCGCGAAAGCGUGGGGAGUACGGCCCGCAAAGGCUGAAACUCAAAGGGAAUUGACGGGGACCCGCACAAGCAGUGGAGUAUGUGGUUUAAUUCGAAGCAACGCGAAGAACCUUACCAGGUCUUGACAUCCCCCUGACCGGUACAGAGAUGUACCUUUCCUUCGGGACAGGGGAGACAGGUGGUGCAUGGUUGUCGUCAGCUCGUGUCGUGAGAUGUUGGGUUAAGUCCCGCAACGAGCGCAACCCUUGACUUUAGUUGCCAGCAGGUAAGGUUGGGCACUCUAGAGUGACUGCCGGUGACAAACCGGAGGAAGGUGGGGAUGACGUCAAAUCAUCAUGCCCCUUAUGACCUGGGCUACACACGUACUACAAUGGCCGGUACAACGGGAAGCGAAGGAGCGAUCUGGAGCGAAUCCUUUAAAGCCGGUCUCAGUUCGGAUUGCAGGCUGCAACUCGCCUGCAUGAAGUCGGAAUUGCUAGUAAUCGCGGAUCAGCAUGCCGCGGUGAAUACGUUCCCGGGUCUUGUACACACCGCCCGUCACACCACGAGAGUUUACAACACCCGAAGUCGGUGAGGUAACCGCAAGGAGCCAGCCGCCGAAAGAUUGGGUCCGGUG